UCAAUAAGAUGGCUUUUUAUUCAAGAUCUGAAUAAAUUGAGGGAUUUAACCAUACAGAUUUCUCUCCAGGCAAAGGGAACAGCAAGUGCAAAAGCCCUAAGGCAGGGAGUGUUCAUGGCGUGCACAAAGAAUAGCAAGGAGGUUAGUGUGGCCAGUUGGAAGGAACAAUAACAACAAAAAUCAGAGCCUUCGCUGUGAUUUGCAAGGCCCUGUGUGAUCAGGCUCCUUGAACUAAGUGGGAAGUCAUUGGAGGAUUCUGAACAAGGAGUGACACAAUCUGACUUAUAUUUUAAUAGGAUCAGUCUGGGAAGCCAGGGUAUUGGAAAGAUCAUCAAUGUGUAUUAAAUCACAAGGAAUUAUAACAGGAGUAGCACUGAAGAGUUAAAGAGAAGCUAAAAUAAUCAAGAAACGAGAGAGAGCAGACAGGGGAUAGGAGGCAGCACAUGACUGCACAAAGAGGGCUCACGGGAGAUAGAGUCUGAUUACAUGAGGUUCAAAGCAGAGUGUUUUUAUGCAGGACAAAGAGGUAGGUAUGGAAAGGGAUGUGAAAACAAAGUAGGACACCUUCCUGACCUCCAGACUCCUUGUUAGGAUGGAUGUAAAAGACAGAAAACACCCCCACGUGGAGGACUGCGGAGGAGUUGUGAAGAGAAGAGCAGAUCAGAGCAAGUGAAGAGAACAUCCACAGAAGAAGAUCUGAGUAAAGGGCAUUUUGAUAGUGAUUGACUUUAUGUUUCCAGAGACAAAGCGAAAGUUUCAAGAGAUGGUGAGGCAUAGGAGAUGGGCCAGAGAAGGUGAUGGAAUUAAAGAAGGGGGAGAUGAGCGAUGAAGUCCUGAACUUCUUGUGAUGAACAGGGAUAAAGGGCGUGAUAAGGUUUUUGCUGUUAGUCCCAAGGCAGAUAGUGAUGCUGUGAAUGUUGAGAGGAAGGAGAGGUGAGGGAGUCUUUCCAGGAGCAGAAAUAUUCCUAAUGGAAUAUUGGGACCUAAUGGGGUGUCUAAUUCACUCCUACUGAAGGAAGUACACUCUAAAGAAGGGUGCUCUUUCUUGAAUGUGGCCUCACUUUGGAUUCCAUAAAAUAGUGGUCUACAAGGUGCUGACUCCCUUGUGACGCUGCUGAUGGAGAACUGCUGAGAGUGUGGUCUUCCUCUGAGCUAGGGCAAGCACUCAGCCCCUGAUAAAUGGUGGAUGCAGGAUGCUAAGCAUACUCCCGAAGCAGACAAUAUCUUGACUCUUGUUGAUGGUGAUUUGUGGACGGGAUUCUUCUGAAAAUACAGGGACCCUUUUGACACAUGAUGAAUGAAAAGUUGAGGCUACCUUUAGGAAUAUUUCUUCAUUAAAAACAAUGUCUAGUCAUUGAGCACUUACGUGUCAGGCUUUGCGAUAGCCCUUGAUAUACAUUCUCAAUUAAUCCUCUAACAUCUCCACACUGAGUUCGAUAUUCUCAUUUAACAGAUGAAGAAAUUGAGGCUCAGAGCUCUGUGCUCCAGAACACACAGCUAGUAACUGCUGAUGGAUCACAAGACGGUUGCUUGAUUGAGAGCUGUCGGUUGCUGUGCCAACCUCAACCAAGGUGAAAGAAAGAAACUAUCCUUAGCUGUGAAGCAAGUCAGCCUGUAGCCAAGGCAGACCUGUGGACACCUCUGUGGAUGAAUUCCAGGAAGCACUGUCUCCAGUCCAGGGCCUUUCUUUCCAGAGACUGCAAGAAUCAAAAUCCCGCAUUUGAGGGCCUGAGGAUGCCAAUCUCUCUGACCCAAUGUGACAAGCUCUGGGACAGAAUCUAUAGCCUCUAUACCCACUGUAAGAGAGAAGAUUCCCAGCAUUGCAGAGUCUAUCCAUACCAAUGGGGAAAAAGGCUGACCCAGAAAACUAGGAGCAGACCAGCUGAGCAAAUGAGCCCCUAUGCUCACACAUGACCCACUUAGCUUCCCUUCCUUUCAAUGGUCCAGGGCAGCACCCUGGGAAUUAGGAUAGCCGAUUCUUCCUUCAUCUUGGGUCUGACUUUGGUAGUCCCUGCAAUGUGCU
rnacentral:lncRNA from 1 species